UACGCACGGGGCGAGCGUUGUUCGAAAUUACUGUGCUUAAAGCGCACGUAGGCGGCUUUGUAAGCUAGAGGUGAAAGCCUGGGGCUCAACUCCGGAAUUGCCUUUAAGACUGCAUCGCUAGAAUUGUGGAGAGGUAAGUGGAAUUCCGAGUGUAGAGGUGAAAUUCGUAGAUAUACGGAAGAACACCAGUGGCGAAGGCGACUUACUGGAUACAUAUUGACGCUGAGGUGCGAAAGCGUGGGGAGCAAACAGG
rnacentral:rRNA from 1 species